AAACGUGUGCAGAGUAUUUGACCGCGUGAAGGAAAAUCCCCUUUAAUUGAAAGCUCACCACUAAUAAUAAUAAAGAUAAAAAUAAAUAAAAGAGUGUUACAGUUGAGGUUUUCACCAGUAUCAAAAACUAAAAAAAAAAGAGCCAUGUUUUGAUGUUUAAUUAAUUAAUGAUAAUAAUUACAGUGUAGUUAGCAACAUUUUCUUUCUUAAUCUUUAAAUUUAACUCCAAGUUUUUAUUUUUUUAUACCUUGGAAAUUAGUUUUCUUACACCUGAAGCCCCAGGAGAAUAUAUAUAUAUAUUUACACAUAAUCUGAGUCAUAAAAAAACACAUAAAGUUCUGUUGCAUUUGUAAAAUGUUUCAUCAAAGAAAAUGAAGGUGUCAAAAUUCAAACGUGUUGUAGGUGUGGUUGUGAGAAUUAGUGAAAUGUUAGGAAGUACAAAUUGUUAACUGUGGAGUAGAGUGUGUCCUGAAUAAUAAAUGUGUAAACGUCUGAGUGUCUUCAAACACAACCAACAGUAUUUCUGGCUGUAUUUUGUCACCAUCGACGUCAGGAGUCUCGACAGUGUUGUGUAUUUAACGUGCAUUAUCUGUACAUGCUAUUUACACAGCUGUCAACAGGUGGCGCUGGGUGCAGUUUGCUGCUCAGAACACAGUAAGUCCAUUGUUUGCACCUGGUCAACACACUCAUGACUCCGUGUUUGUUCUUCUCACACAGACGUGCAGGUCAGAGGUCACGCAGAAAAGUCUGAGGGACAGAAGUCCACGACGGCUGCGUCCGUGAAGGUGACGUUUCUGAGAACUCUUACUGUCAUCAGUAGAUCAUGACCUCAUCAAAGCUCAGCCUCUGUUUUUCUGUUAUACUUGAUAAUAUAUUUGGACGAAUUCCGGUGAAAAGAAUCCCACUCGGCCUCGACAGCGCCCUCUCCAGGUCUGCGGGCCGGAGCAGUCGAGCACAUCGAUGACAUCUCCUCGCAGGAGGUGCAGAGCUCGUCGUCUUCUGACGGUGAGAAGGAGAACAGAGCCACGGACUCCAUCCUGACCAGAGAGACGGAGUGAACAGGGCUGGGACUGGAGCCCAGCAGGACCAGCACACUUU